UAGUCUGGUGCCAGCAGCCGCGGUAAUUCCAGCUCCAAUAGCGUAUAUUAAAGUUGUUGCAGUUAAAACGCUCGUAGUCGGAUUUCGGGGCAGGUUUGCCGGUCUGCCGAUGGGUAUGCACUGGUAGAACUGUCCUUCCUUCCGGAGACGGCGCCUACUCUUAACUGAGCGGGUGUCGGAGACGGAUCGUUUACUUUGAAAAAAUCAGAGUGUUUCAAGCAGGCAGCUCGCUUUUGCAUGGAUUAGCAUGGGAUAAUGAAAUAGGACUUUGGUGCUAUUUUGUUGGUUUCGAACACCGAAGUAAUGAUUAACAGGGACAGUCAGGGGCACUCGUAUUCCGCCGAGAGAGGUGAAAUUCUUAGACCAGCGGAAGACGAACCACUGCGAAAGCAUUUGCCAGGGAUGUUUUCACUGAUCAAGAACGAAAGUUAGGGGAUCGAAGACGAUCAGAUACCGUCGUAGUCUUAACCAUAAACCAUGCCGACUAGGGAUUGGAGGAUGUUCCUAUGUGACUCCUUCAGCACCUUUCGGGAAACUAAAGUCUUUGGGUUCCGGGGGGAGUAUGGUCGCAAGGCUGAAACUUAAAGGAAUUGACGGAAGGGCACCNCCAGGAGUGGAGCCUGCGGCUUAAUUUGACUCAACACGGGGAAACUUACCAGGUCCAGACAUUGUGAGGAUUGACAGAUUGAGAGCUCUUUCUUGAUUCGAUGGGUGGUGGUGCAUGGCCGUUCUU
rnacentral:rRNA from 1 species